AGCCGCGCUUUUAAGCUCCACGACCUUAUCUCUCAUACCUCAGCCGCCUGGCCUGAAGCGAAGCUGUCUUGCCCGAGAAGAGAGUGGUCACUGUGUCGCGUGGUAACAAAGCUCAGGACGAGGAGAACCUACAUGAGAAAGGACGUCCUCCGGUUUCUAGACAUUGGGAAGUCGAAGAUUAAGGUCCCAGCCUAUUCUGUUCCCUGUCCAAGACCCUUUUCCUGUCUUGCAGAAGAGAGGAAGGGAAAGGGAGAGAAAAUCAUUGAUCGCUGCCUUCUGCACACCUCCUACUGUGGAUGGAACCUGCAACCCAGACAUGUGCCCUGACCGUGAUUUGAAUCGUGACUCCUAGUGUCAUAGAUCAAUACCUAACCACUGAGCUACACCAAGUGGUCAAGUCACUUAAUCUUUCUGUCAGUUUCUUCAUCUGUGAAAUAGAGCUAGUAAUAAUACUGACCACAUGGUUGUUGUGAGGUUAUAUGAAGACAGUUUGAAACGACUAAAGAACUGGCCUUGCACUAGAUAUUUAA